GAGUUUGAUCAUGGCUCAGGAUGAACGCCGGCGGUGUGCCUAAUACAUGCAAGUCGUACGCACUGGCCCAACUGAUUGAUGGUGCUUGCACCUGAUUGACGAUGGAUCACCAGUGAGUGGCGGACGGGUGAGUAACACGUAGGUAACCUGCCCCGGAGCGGGGGAUAACAUUUGGAAACAGAUGCUAAUACCGCAUAACAACAAAGGCCACAUGGCUUUUGUUUGAAAGAUGGCUUUGGCCAUCACUCUGGGAUGGACCUGCGGUGCAUUAGCUAGUUGGUAAGGUAACGGCUUACCAAGGCGAUGAUGCAUAGCCGAGUUGAGAGACUGAUCGGCCACAAUGGAACUGAGACACGGUCCAUACUCCUACGGGAGGCAGCAGUAGGGAAUCUUCCACAAUGGGCGCAAGCCUGAUGGAGCAACACCGCGUGAGUGAAGAAGGGUUUCGGCUCGUAAAGCUCUGUUGUUGGAGAAGAACGCGCGUGAGAGU
rnacentral:rRNA from 1 species